rfam:Solobacterium moorei F0204 genomic scaffold Scfld67, whole genome shotgun sequence.
GUACCAUAGUGCGAAAUAAAGCCAACCACAAGAAGUCAGCUGAGACCAUAGUAGCGAAGAAACUUCUGUAAUGGAAGUGGAGCGAAGGGU